CUGAGCAGGGAGCCCGACGCGGGGCUCGAUCCCAGGACCCCGGGAUCAUGACCUGAGCCAAAGGCAGACACUCAACCAGCUGAGCCACCCAGGAAUCCACUUUGGAAAAAAAACUUGGGUACUUUCUGUCUUUGUGAGAUUGAAGAAAACUUUUUCUCUUAGGCUAACUGACAGCAAUUUGAUAAAAUAUACCUUCGUGAAUAAAUUGAAACGUUUAUCUUUUCUCCCUACCCGCCAGAAUUCAGAAAUUCUCAAUAUGCCUCUUAUUUAAUACCUGAUUACUCGGACCACAGGCAAACUUGGAGAGCAUACCUGCAUCACCACCUCCUGAAAUGAGUUUAACUAAACUGACCUAUUGUCAAGACCAAGGAGAGUGGUUCAGUGAGACAAAACAGUCUACCAGCUCAAGUUUUAACGUGUGAAACUUCAGGAAGUUUCAGAGGAUGGAGCUGUAGGGGCCAAAGACAGGCCCCCCCCAAGAUGGGCCACUUUGGCCUGAAGAUUAUCUUGAGCUGAAAGCAAUUGAGACCCUGCGGGUUGAGAGAAACUCUUUGCCCUUCCUUUAACUACACAGAAGAAUCUAAAUUGGAAAUCUUUCUCAGAAGAAUGGUUAUUACCAGAGAUAAAUUUUAUCUGAGUGACCCAUCUGUAGAGCAGGGCAAACAUCUAAUCACCAAACAUCUGCUCUUUUUCUUACUGCCCUGUGCAUUGCAUUUCUUCCCUUCAAAGUCCCAGACUCUUACCCCUUCUCCUUAGUUCAGGAGGACAUAGAUAUCUCAUUAUGCCUGCCUGUCUUUGAAAUUUCCACGUCUGUGUGGAUUCCCCAUCAGUACACUAUGAAAUUUAAUUUUCUCCUAUAAAUCUGUCUCAUGUAAACCUGAUUCUUGGUCCAGCUAGAAGAACCUUGGAGGGGACAGGAAUUCUUGCUCCUUGACAUUACUCUAAGGUAAACACUCUCUCCCAUUUCACUAUUCUCAAAAUCUCCAAGAAAAGGUUUGAAACCCAAAGAAUUGCCUCCAGGGCCCUGGGGCCUCAGAAAAAGGCCUGCUUCUCCUUGGGUCACAUAUGCAAGUUAUCUAGCAGAAU